UGGGGAAUUUUGGACAAUGGGCGCAAGCCUGAUCCAGCCAUGCCGCGUGUCUGAAGAAGGCCUUCGGGUUGUAAAGGACUUUUGUCAGGGAAGAAAAGGCUGUUGCUAAUAUCAGCGGCUGAUGACGGUACCUGAAGAAUAAGCACCGGCUAACUACGUGCCAGCAGCCGCGGUAAUACGUAGGGUGCAAGCGUUAAUCGGAAUUACUGGGCGUAAAGCGAGCGCAGACGGUUACUUAAGCAGGAUGUGAAAUCCCCGGGCUCAACCUGGGAACUGCGUUCUGAACUGGGUAACUAGAGUGUGUCAGAGGGAGGUAGAAUUCCACGUGUAGCAGUGAAAUGCGUAGAGAUGUGGAGGAAUACCGAUGGCGAAGGCAGCCUCCUGGGAUAACACUGACGUUCAUGCUCGAAAGCGUGGGUAGCAAACAGGAUUAGAUACCCUGGUAGUCCACGCCCUAAACGAUGUCAAUUAGCUGUUGGGCAACUUGAUUGUUCAGUAGCGUAGCUAACGCGUGAAAUUGACCGCCUGGGGAGUACGGUCGCAAGAUUA
rnacentral:rRNA from 1 species